ACGGAGAAAACCCAUUUCUUCUGUGGAGGCGGCUGAAGAAACUCAAGCUUCUCGCACUUGAGCUUCUGUGAAUCUGAAACUUCUAAGCUCAGUUGCUCGCUGUGGUGGCUAUGGCGAUUAACAACAAUAACGGGGAUUUCCUAAUGCUCGAAGCUCCACCGCAACCGCCGCAACCAGCGUGGCGUGUUUCUGCAGAUGCGGAGGUAAUCGACGCCUUGGCCUACAUCGACGACGACUAUGUAGACCCUAGCAGAGGUCGAUCGCUAAGUGGAGGAAGAGAUGCGGCGUAGCUCCAAGAGACCGGCCGACUUUCUCAAAGACUUGCCUCCUGGUCCCAAGUUCAAAUUUGACGAUCAUCCAAUGCUUGCCAGAGAGUAUGAACGUGUAAGAGCUGGGAGGCCUCACGUGCCUCUUGAUGUUGCAAGAUACAAAUUGGAGACGCCAGCUCCAAAUAAAAAGAAUGUAUUUCUUGGAAGCAGACACUUCAGAAAGCUCAAUGCUUACUACGUCAUCAAGUGCUGAGGUGAAGUUUUGAUAUGUUUUUUAUUGUUCUAGGCACUUGAGAUUUGUAUUUCGAAAAUUUUAAUUUUAUGGAGAACAGUUAGAGUUGGCUGCUUGAACUCAUACAGGUCCUGGAAUUCCUGCAAUACCACGACUUCAUGUGUUGGACUACAGUUAGAGUCACCACUGGCCGAUAUUGUCCUAUUUGGACUUUCCCUUCCGGGCUUCCUCUUAACGUAUUAAAACGCGUCUGCUAGGGGGAGGUUUCCACACCCGUUAAAGAGUAUUUUGUUCUACUCCCCAACCGAUGUGGGAUCUCACAGUUGGUAAUGUUGGGUUUCCACACCGCAACUAUAUUAUUCUCAUCUGAAUUGAAUUGAUUCAUUGAUUCAUUGAUCAAGGACCUUAUUAUUGUUAAUUGCUUAUCUUUGCACAUUGGUGAACGCAUUGCAAUCCUUACUUUUGAGUACAUUAGUCAGAAGAAAUGAAACAUCCAGAUGCAUUUGCUGCUGUCUAUGGCUCUUUCUUUCAUUAAUGCCUAUGUGCUCUUUCUUAGAACUCAAGGACAUGGGAGUACAACUUAUAAAAUAGAUCCUGUACAAGUAAGGUCCUGCCUAGGUGCCCUUUAAUGUUGCAUCCAUGCUAGAAACUUUAUGUUUGAGGAGGUUAUCACUUCACGUUAUUUAAGAUUGUAAAUACCCGAGAAAUUUAUAUUUGGGAUCUUCAUGAUAUAAUGACAAUGAGAUUCUGCAUGCCCCUGCAACAUAAAAGUCGGUGUCUCUCUUUUGGUUAGACAUUCCAACUUUCACUUGCUUGUUGUCACAUUAUCUGAGGCAAGGGCCGUUUCUAUCAAAACUAAAAACCAUUGCAUGACAGGCAUUAGCUUUAUAGAACACUUGGCCACAUUUAUAUACAUGUCAUUUCUUAAUGUAGUAAGCAAGAAACUACAUCUGACCAACUUGACCAUAUAUGAUUGUUACUUAUAUUGUCUUGUUACUGUCAGAAUGCAACAAUUAGCUCAAGAACAGAAUGAGAAGAUGGAAAAUGUUAACCGCAAAAGAAAAUUCCAUCAAGUGACUAACAUCCCUGUAAUUCAUAUUAUUAGUAUAAGCUAGAGGUCAAUUCUUUGGAAUAGUUGGUUGAUUUUUUAUGCAAUGGUCAGCAAAACGCUGCAUCUGAGCUUCAUGUUUUGUCCACACAAUGGAAGGAGCUUUGACAGAAAAAUAUUGAAAUCCAAGUGGCAUCCUCUCAAAUAGAGGGUCAAAUCCAGGAUCUAAGGGGAGGCAGCAAAAAAAGGCUUGAAUUUGGAAGUCAAUGUGGAGAAUGGUUCUGUUUCCCUACCAGUGUCAUAAGGUAUGUACAGCAAGAGAGAAUACAGAGAAUAUCAAAAAGACUGCGGACAUCUUUUGUUGCUCUUAGCAUAUGCCUCUAUGGAAGAUGGUUGGGUUUAUGGGAGAAGAUUGGUUGCUCGUUUUCGAAAUACAGUUGCUUCUGCUAACCACGUUAUUGGGUAACUCUCUGGUUUAUAUAUAUAUAUAAUGUUUUGUGGAUAAAUAAUUGAACUACCAAAAUGUCAAUCAAAUGGAUAAUAUUUGAUGACAAUUCAAAUUCUUUUGAUAUAAACUAAGGUACCACAGAGAAUUAUUUGCUUUGUUCAA